GCUACUUCCUGUUGGAGUUCCGUUCCUCCAUCUACAAGUCCCAGGAUCCCUUGUUUGUAAUUGUAAGGUCAAACAAGCCAGGCCUCCACAUAUCCCGAAAUAAUCUGUGCUGUUGGAUAAAUUCCACUGAUCCCUAAAAUGGAAAAGGCCUGGACAAACCAAGGGGACUAGGGCAGUAAAUUCAGAGUACGCUGUGCUGAUACCAAUGAAUGAUGGGCAGACGCAGGCAACAAGUUUAUCUGAGGCUGGCAGGUAACAGGAAAGAGAGAUACAAAGUCAC